GAUGAACGCUGGCGGCGUGCCUAAUACAUGCAAGUCGAGCGAACAGACGAGGAGCUUGCUCCUCUGACGUUAGCGGCGGACGGGUGAGUAACACGUGGAUAACCUACCUAUAAGACUGGGAUAACUUCGGGAAACCGGAGCUAAUACCGGAAAAUAUAUCGAACCGCAUGGUUCAAUAGUGAAAGACGCUUUUGCUGUCUCAUAAAGAUGAAUCCGCGCCGCAUUAGCUAGUUGGUAAGGUAACGGCUUACCAAGGCAACGAUGCGUAGCCGACCUGAGAGCGUGAUCAGCCACACUGGAACUGAGACACGGUCCAGACUCCUACGGGAGGCAGCAGUAGGGAAUCUUACGCAAAGGGCGAAAGCCGGACGGAGCAACGCCGCGUGAGUGAUGAAGGUCUUCGGAUCGUAAAACUCUGUUAUUAGGAAAGAACAAAAGUGUAAGUAACUAUGCACGUCUUGACGGUACCUAAUCAAAAAGCCACGGCUAACUACGUG
rnacentral:rRNA from 1 species